AUUGAACGCUGGCGGCAGGCUUAACACAUGCAAGUCGAGCGGAGAUGAGGUGCUUGCACCUUAUCUUAGCGGCGGACGGGUGAGUAAUGCUUAGGAAUCUGCCUAUUAGUGGGGGACAACAUUCCGAAAGGAAUGCUAAUACCGCAUACGCCCUACGGGAGAAAGCAGGGGAUCUUCGGACCUUGCGCUAAUAGAUGAGCCUAAGUCGGCUUAGCUAGUUGGUGGGGUAAAGGCCUACCAAGGCGACGAUCUGUAGCGGGUCUGAGAGGAUGAGCAGCCACACUGGGACGGGGACACGGCCCAGACUCCUACGGGGGGCAGCAGUGGGGAAUAUUGGACAAUGGGGGGAACCCUGAUCCAGCCAUGCCGCGUGUGUGAAGAAGGCCUUAUGGUUGUAAAGCACUUUAAGCGAGGAGGAGGCUACUGAGACUAAUACUCUUGGAAAGUGGACGUUACUCGCAGAAUAAGCACCGGCUAACUCUGUGCCAGCCGCCGCAGUAACAC
rnacentral:rRNA from 1 species